rnacentral:rRNA from 1 species
UACGAAGGGGGCUAGCGUUGCUCGGAAUCAUUGGGCGUAAAGCGCGCGUAGGCGGCCCGGUAAGUCCGCUGUGAAAGUCAAAGGCUCAACCUUUGAAUGUCAGCGGAUACUGCCGGGCUAGAGUCCGGAAGAGGCGAGUGGAAUUCCUGGUGUAGCGGUGGAAUGCGCAGAUAUCAGGAGGAACACCAACGGCGAAGGCAGCUCGCUGGGACGGUACUGACGCUGAGGCGCGAAAGCGUGGGGAGCGAACAGG